UACGAGGGGGGCUAGCGUUGCUCGGAAUUACUGGGCGUAAAGGGCGCGUAGGCGGAUGUUUAAGUCAGCGGUGAAAGCCCAGGGCUCAACCUUGGAACUGCCAUUGAUACUGGACAUCUUGAGUACGGGAGAGGUGAGUGGAACUCCGAGUGUAGAGGUGAAAUUCGUAGAUAUUCGGAAGAACACCAGUGGCGAAGGCGACUCACUGGCCCGUUACUGACGCUGAGGCGCGAAAGCGUGGGGAGCAAACAGG
rnacentral:rRNA from 1 species